CUUGAGACUUGUCGGUGGGCGCCUAAACAAUUUUCUUUAGCAAAGAAAGGUCCUCGUUGGAGAACUUCAUUAGUUUCUCACCAUCCUCCUUCUCUUUACCCCUAGAUACAAAGCAGAGAAGAGAAGAAUCAAGAAUGUCAGCACCUUUCUCACGUUUUACGAAUUUCAGACCGAUUUCAAGGCUUUUCAGGCAGGUAGAGCAAGAAAUGGAGACUGUAGUAGGUGUACUGCAACCAGGACCUUUGGGAAUUAUUGAACACAAGUUCUCUGCAGAAGAAGUACGGCAAGCAAAGUCUGCAGUUGAGAAAGCUGUAGAAAAUUGGAAGAGGAAUGCUUACUUGGAGAAGAGUAACCCAAUCAUGAAGGAUUAUAUUGAUAUAUGAAAAUAGGUUCUUAUCUAUCUGUUAGCUUUUUCCCUCUUUUCUCUGGAUUUGAUUACGCGGUUUAUAUGAAACGCAUGGAAUGGUGCACGUCAAAUAUCUGCUCUACAGUAUAUGAUAUUUGAAUGCUGCUGUCAAAUAUCUGCUCUACAGUCUAUGAUAUUUGAUGGUAUUAUUUGGAUUCAAAGUUGCUUGAAAAUAUUUUUGUGCUUCAUCUUCA